UUGUAUAGCUUAUAUAAAGUGUUGUUUUGAAGAAACAAAGAAAAAUGCAAU
rnacentral:tRNA from 1 species